UCUUGGAUGCAGGGUUGUUUUCUCUGGCCUGGCUUCCGCUCAGGGCCUAUGCGCACCCCGGAUGGCGGGCGUGGGUGGAACAUGGUGAGAGCAGGCUGCCAGUGGAGACGGGAGGCCCAGUGCAGGCACCAGUUAAAGGGACACGGCCACUGGGCCCCCCCCCACCCCACCCCCACUGACAGGCAUAGGAGACCUUUUGUUUCUGGAUCCGAACACUAAGAAGGCGCACACAACUCAAAGGAUUUCUGACCCUGAAAGGUGCUGCUUUGACCAGCCACACUUGGCACUUGGGGGUUAAUUCUAUUUGACCACAGUCAAUAUAAUAGUCUAAUAAAUUUGACCACAUUUGAUAUUUGUAUUAAAAUUUGUGCUUCAUUCCAAACCAUCAGUAUUUUUUUGUUUUUUGUUUUUUUUAAAUCAGAAGAACACUAUUUUCAAACAACUAUAUGAAGAACUCUAGUCUAUGGAUGUGCUCUGGCUGAAACAGGAGCGGGACCCUUGAGGCCCCUAAGAGGGAGCUCAGAUGCUAAGGAACAUUUUUGUUUUGUUUUGGGAGUGAUACGUUCUGUCUCCCUUGUUCUCUGGUCAUUUUCCAGAUGUGGAUUUGAGCCUUGCCGAUCACUCUGAGAGCUUACCAAUGUCAGUCCAAUACAGUCGGCGUCUGGCUUCGUCUGUAAGGGAUCUGCCCUGCUCUGUCUACUUGGUGGGACUGCUGUGUUGAUCCAAGGGGAUCCUGCAUUUGAAGUUGCCUUGGAACUGCCAGAUGAUGUGCAAAUGCCAUGUAGGUCAUUCACCGCGUGGACUGGAGACUAAGCAGGGUUGCCACUUGAGCCUGAAUUUCCAAUCUGCCCAGAUAAAGAAGAGAGGAUUUGGGAGGGAAUUCUACUGGAGUGAUGGCUCGGAAAAAGGCUCACUCCCAAGAAGAUCCUGAUGAAGGAAGAUUGUUUUGAAGCUUAACCAAAGAGCACUCUGCAGCAUUAUUUCACAGAACCCCUACCCUGGGCUAUCUACCAGAGAAUGACUGGUCAAAGAAAUUGGCAUUCCAAAGGACUAAUGUCAGCAUCAUGUGGCAUAAAUCACUUUCCCUCUCCUUUUUUAAGCAAAAAAUUAAAUGUCCAUAACGAAACAAAAGUGCCUCCACACAUUACACCAAUGGAUCCUGGAGGUUUCUAGCCAAGCUGUGCAUCCAAAAAUAAAUAAGACCUCAGAAAGGACUGUGGAUCCAGAGGAGCUGUCAAACCUGCCCUACCCCAGCUCACCAGGCAGCCAGGAAAAAAACAUGUAACCUACAAAGGAACCCCUGUUAGGCUAUCAGUGGAUUUCUCAGCAGAAAUUCUACAUACCAGGGGAGAGUGAAAUGACAUAUUCAAAGAGCUGAAAAUGAACAUUUUCACCCAGGAAUACUUUAUCUGGCCAAAUUAUCCUUGAUAUAUGGAGAAAUAAAGGUUUUCCUAAACAAAAGCUAAGCGAGUUCAGCAACAUUAGAUUUGCCAUGCAAGAAAUUCCAAAAGGAGUUCCUUGAAUUGAAAUAAAAAGAUGCUAAUUAAUAACAUGAAAACAUAGGAAAGUACACAACAAUCUGAUAAAGGUAAAAUAUAGAGAGAAUCUGAAAACUGUUUUUCUAUAUUAGAAUGGUAUCUUAAGUAUAUAGUAUAAAGGUUAAAAAAGUAUUAACUAGUUAUUAUAAUUUGUUAACAAAUAUACAACAUAAAGAGGCAAAUUUUGAUAUCAAUUAUAUAAAUGGAGAGGAGUAAAAGGAUGGAGACUUUAUAGGUGAAUAAAGAUAAAACUACAUUUUAUGCUGAUAGCAAUUUAUCAAGGAGAUGUUUUAUAUAACCCCUCAUGGUAACCAAAAGCAAAAAUGUACAGUAGAUUCAUGAAACGCAGAAAAACAGGGAGGCAGAGCAUACCACCAUGGGAAACCACCAAUGUACAAAUGUAGGCAGAAACAGAGGGGAAAAGAAACAAGAGAUGUGAACCAACCAGAAGAAAAACAAUAAGAUGGCAGUAAUUAGUCCUUACAUAUCAAAAUCACUCUAAAUAUAAAUGGAUUCAAUUUAUCAACCAAAAGUCACAGAUUGGCUGGCUGAAUGAAAAAGAAGGAAGAAAUAGAAAACAAUGUAACAAUAGUAGGGGAGGGAAUUCCCUGGCAGUCCAGUGGUUAGGCCUCCACGCUCCACUGCAGGCGGUAUGGGUUCCAUCCCUGGUCAGGGAAAUAAGAUCCCACAAGCUGUGCGGUGCAGGCAGAAAACAAACACAAAAACCCAAAAAAACAAACACAAUAGUAGGGGACUUCUGUACUGCACUGUCAGCAAUGGAUAGAUCAGACAGAAAAUUAACAAGAAAACGUUGGAGUUGGACCACACUUUAGACCAAGUGAACGUAACAGACAUAUAUAGAGCAUUCCAUCCAACGGUAGCAAAAUACACACACUUCUCAAUUGUACAUGUAACAUUCUCCAGGGUAGAGCAUAUGAUAGGACACAAAACAAAUCUUAGCAAAUUUAAGAAGUUUGAAAUUAUAAAGAGACCUUCAAGAUGGUGAAGGAGUAAGCCAUAGAGAUCACUUUCCUCCCCACAAAUACAUCAGAAAUACAUCUACAUGUGGAAAAACACCUACUGAAUGCUGGCAGAAGACCCACACUUCCCAAAAAGCAAGAAACUCCCCACAUACAUGGGUAGGGCAAAAGAAAAAACGGAGAUAAAAGAAUGAAUAGGGACAGGACCUGCACCUCUGGGAGGGAGCUGUGAAGGAGGAAAAGUUUCCACACACUAUGAAGCCCCUUCACUGGUGGAGAUGGAGGGUGGUGGGGGGGGAAGCUUCGGAGCCAUGGAGGACAGCGCAGCAACGGGGGGCAGAGGGCAAAGCAGAGAUUCCUGCACAGAGGAUCGGUACCAAUGAGCACUCACCAGCCCGAGAGGCUUGUCUGCUCACCCGCCGGGUCGGGUGGGGGCUGAGAGCUGAGGCUUCGGCUUCGGAGGUCAGAUGCCAGGGAGAGGACUGGGGUUGGCUGCCUGAACACAGCCUGAAGGGGGCUAGUGCACCACAGCUAGCUGGGAGGGUGUCUGGGAAAAAGUCUGGACCUGCCUAAGAGGCAACAGACCGUUGUUUCAGGGUGCACAAGGAGAGGGGAUUCAGAGCACCACCUAAACGAGUUCCAGAGACGGGCACGAGCCAUGGCUAUCAGUGUGGACACCAGAGAUGGGCCUGAGACGCUAAGGUUCCUCCUGCAGCCACAAAGAAGCCUGUGUGCAAGCACAGGUCACUAUCCACACCUCCCCUCCCAGAAGCCUGUGCAGCCUGCCACUGCCAGGGUCCCGGGAUCCAGGGACAACGUCCCCCAGAGAACACACGGCGCACCUCACACUGUUGCAAUGUCAUGCUGGCCUCUGCCGCCACAGACUCGCCCCGCAUUCCAUACCCCUCCCUCCCCCUGGCCUGAGUGAGCCAGGGCCCCCAAAUCAGCUGCUACUUUAACCCUGUCCAGUCAGGGGUGAACAGAUGCCCCCAGGUGGCCUACAUGCAGAGGUGGGGCCAAAUCCAAAGCUGAACCGCAGGAGCUGUGCUAACAAAGAAGAGAAACAGAAAUCUCUCCCAGCUGCCUCACAAGCAGUGGAUUAAAUCUCCACAAUCAACUUGAUGUACCCUGCAUCUGUGGAAUACCUGAAUAGACAACGAAUCAUCCCAAACUGAGGCAGUGGACUUUGGGAGCAACUGUAGACUUGGGGUUUGCUUUCGGCAUCUAAUUUGUUUCUGGUUUUAUGUUUAUCUUAGUUUAGUAUUUAGAGUUUAUUAUCAUUGGUAGAUUUGUUUAUUGAUUUGGUUGCUCUCUUCCUUUUUUUUAAAAAAAAAUAUAUUUUCCUUUUUCUCUUUU